UACGUAGGGCGCGAGCGUUGUCCGGAAUUAUUGGGCGUAAAGAGCUCGUAGGCGGCCGGUUGCGUCUGCUGUGAAAUCCCGGGGCUUAACCCCGGGCGUGCAGUGGAUACGGGCCGGCUGGAGGCAGGCAGGGGAGAAUGGAAUUCCCGGUGUAGCGGUGAAAUGCGCAGAUAUCGGGAGGAACACCAGUGGCGAAGGCGACUACCUGGCCUGUUCUUGACGCUGAGGCGCGAAAGCUAGGGGAGCAAACGGG
rnacentral:rRNA from 1 species